AUGGCGCCGGGUGGUCUCUUGGGCACGGCGGCCGUGGCCGUGCUCUUGUCGCUGGCGGUACACGUCGCGCUCCACUGCCCCAUCCAGCCGCUCCCGUCGCCGCCGCCGCCCGCGCGGCACCCUCCCAAUAACCUCCUCCAGGGGCUGGAGAAGCUCGGGGAAGGGCGGCUGAGCGGGCCGGAGGACGUAUACGUCGACGCGGCGGCGGGCGGGACGCUGUACACGGCGACGAGGGACGGGUGGCUGCAGAGGAUGCAGCCCAACGGGUCGUGGGAGCACUGGCGGUUCGUCGGCGGCACGGACCUGCUCGGCAUCGCGCCCUCCGCCGACGGCAGCAUGCUCGUCUGCGACGCUCACAAGGGAUUACUGAAAGUCGAGGACGGUCACGUGACCAUUCUCGCAUCCACGGUCGAAGGCUCCACGAUCAGGUUUGCCGACGCGGUGAUCGAGGCAUCCGACGGCACGGUCUACUUCAGCGACGGGAGCACCAGGUUCGGCUUCGGCGAGUGGUUCCUCGACUACCUCGAGGCCCGCCCCACCGGCCGGCUCCUCAGGUACGACCCCGGCACCGGCAAGGCCUCCGUCGCGCUCGACAACCUCGCCUUCGCCAACGGCGUCGCCCUGUCGCGGGACGAGGCCUUCGUCAUCGUCUGCGAGACAGCGGGGUUCAGAUGCACGAGGCUGUGGCUGAAAGGGGACAAGGCUGGACAGAAGCAGACCUUCGUCGACAACCUUCCGGGGUCUCCGGAUAACAUCCAUCUAGCACCAGACGGCUCCUUCUGGAUCGCCCUUCUCCAGCUAAGGUCGCCAUGGAUGGACCUGAUCACCCGCUGGACCUUGGCCAAGAGAGUCGUCGCGUCGAUCCCGGCGCUUCACGAACCCAUCAAGGCAACGGCGAAGGGAGCGAUGGUGGCCCAAGUGUCGGAGGACGGUGAGAUCAUCCGUGUGCUCGACGACUCCCAAGGGAAGGUGAUCCACUUCAUCACUUCCGUGACGGAGUUCGAUGGGCAUCUGUUCUUGGGAAGCCUUUCCACGAACUUCGUGGGGAAGCUGUCUCUGGCGAAGGUGCCACAUGUGCAUGCGGCAGUUUCAUCCUAG
rnacentral:rRNA from 1 species